GCCUCUAUCGUCUAAGGGUUAGGACAUCGGCCUGUCACGCCGAAAAACCGGGUUCGAGUCCCGGUAGGGGCGCCA
rnacentral:tRNA from 1 species